rnacentral:rRNA from 1 species
GGGACACGUGAUAUCCUGUCUGAAUAUGGGGGGACCAUCCUCCAAGGCUAAAUACUACUGACUGACCGAUAGUGAACCAGUACCGUGAGGGAAAGGCGAAAAGAACCCCUGUGAGGGGAGUGAAAUAGAACCUGAAACCGUGUACGUACAAGCAGUAGGAGCAGGCUUUGUCCUGUGACUGCGUACCUUUUGUAUAAUGGGUCAGCGACUUAUAUUCAGUGGCAAGGUUAACCAUCUAGGGGAGCCGUAGGGAAACCGAGUCUUAACUGGGCGUUCAGUCUCUGGAUAUAGACCCGAAACCAGGUGAUCUAGCCAUGGGCAGGUUGAAGGUUGAGUAACAUCAACUGGAGGACCGAACCGACUAAUGUUGAAAAAUUAGCGGAUGACUUGUGGCUAGGGGUGAAAGGCCAAUCAAACCUGGAGAUAGCUGGUUCUCCCCGAAAGCUAUUUAGGUAGCGCCUCGGACGAAUACUACUGGGGGUAGAGCACUGUUAAGGCUAGGGGGUCAUCCCGACUUACCAACCCUUUGCAAACUCCGAAUACCAGUAAGUACUAUCCGGGAGACACACGGCGGGUGCUAACGUCCGUCGUGGAGAGGGAAACAACCCAGACCGCCAGCUAAGGUCCCAAAUUACUACUAAGUGGGAAACGAUGUGGGAAGGCUCAGACAGCCAGGAUGUUGGCUUAGAAGCAGCCAUCAUUUAAAGAAAGCGUAAUAGCUCACUGGUCGAGUCGGCCUGCGCGGAAGAUGUAACGGGGCUAAGUAGUAAACCGAAGCUGCGGCAAUAUACUUUUGUAUAUUGGGUAGGGGAGCGUUCUGUAAGCGGUUGAAGGUGUGUGGUAACGCAUGCUGGACGUAUCAGAAGUGCGAAUGCUGACAUGAGUAACGAUAAAGGGGGUGAAAAACCUCCUCGCCGGAAGACCAAGGGUUCCUGUCCAACGUUAAUCGGGGCAGGGUAAGUCGACCCCUAAGGCGAGGCCGAAAGGCGUAGUCGAUGGGAAACGGGUUAAUAUUCCCGUACUUCUUACAAUUGCGAUGGGGGGACGGAGAAGGCUAGGUGGGCCUGGCGACGGUUGUCCAGGUUCAAGUGCGUAGGCUGAGAAAUUAGGUAAAUCCGGUUUCUCUUAAGGCUGAGACACGACGUCGAGCUACUACGGUAGUGAAGUCAUUGAUGCCAUGCUUCCAGGAAAAGCCUCUAAGCUUCAGAUUGUAAGGAAUCGUACCCCAAACCGACACAGGUGGUCGGGUAGAGAAUACCAAGGCGCUUGAGAGAACUCGGGUGAAGGAACUAGGCAAAAUGGUACCGUAACUUCGGGAGAAGGUACGCUCUCGACGGUGAAGUCCCUCGCGGAUGGAGCUAUUGAGAGUCGCAGAUACCAGGUGGCUGCAACUGUUUAUUAAAAACACAGCACUGUGCAAAAUCGCAAGAUGACGUAUACGGUGUGACGCCUGCCCGGUGCCGGAAGGUUAAUUGAUGGGGUUAGACUUCGGUCGAAGCUCUUGAUCGAAGCCCCGGUAAACGGCGGCCGUAACUAUAACGGUCCUAAGGUAGCGAAAUUCCUUGUCGGGUAAGUUCCGACCUGCACGAAUGGCGUAAUGAUGGCCACGCUGUCUCCACCCGAGACUCAGUGAAAUUGAAAUCGCUGUGAAGAUGCAGUGUACCCGCGGCUAGACGGAAAGACCCCGUGAACCUUUACUACAGCUUGGCACUGAACAUUGACCCUACAUGUGUAGGAUAGGUGGGAGGCUUUGAAGCGCAGUCGCUAGAUUGCGUGGAGCCGUCCUUGAAAUACCACCCUUGUAGUGUU